UACGUAGGGGGCAAGCGUUGUCCGGAAUCAUUGGGCGUAAAGAGCGUGUAGGCGGCCUGGCAAGUCCGCUGUGAAAACUCGAGGCUUAACCUCGAGACGUCGGUGGAAACUGCCUGGCUAGAGUCCGGAAGAGGAGAGUGGAAUUCCUGGUGUAGCGGUGAAAUGCGCGGAUAUCAGGAAGAACACCCGUGGCUAAGGCGGCUCUCUAGUACGGUACUGACGCUGAGACGCGAAAGCGUGGGGAGCGAACAGG
rnacentral:rRNA from 1 species